UGGUUAUCAUGGUGGUUAUCGCUUUAGAGUGGCAGCCAUUAUUUUCCACCGCAUCACAACAGACUCGGGAAAAAGAUGACUAACACAGGAAAGCCAGACGGCUACUGGAGGGACCUCUGCAUAAAAUAUGCCCAGGGCCAAAACCGCUUCUCGACUGGCAAACGGCCAGGGGCCAAGAAAUGGAAAAAGGCCUUGGAGAGCAUCGAUGCUUGCCCCCUGCAGAGCCAUAGUGCUAGUAAGGAUCUGUUCGGGAGAAGCCUUCAGUGCUCCUGUGGGUUCCACAAGCCCAGGAUCCCGAACACCACAGGGUCACCACUGCCUCAGACACGCCAAGGAGUUUGAGCAGUCACGCUACAGGCCCAAGGACACGAGGGGGAAAACCCUGCCCAUCCCUCGGUCAAUUGUGAGCAUCUACAGCCAUAUUAGACAGCUGCUGGAGGACAGCAGGUCCAGACGGCGCUGGCUCUGGUGCCGGUGAACAACACCACGGUCUCUGCAUGGCUGCUUAGGAGGGACAAGAGGAAGGACAGGAACAUGCUGCUGCAAGGCAAUGUCCUCCCUCAACAGCUAUACCUGGCCAAGGAUCCUCUCCCUUCAUUAAACACUAUCCCGGCUGCCCCUGUGCAACAUGCACAUGAGAGCUGCUGUGUUCGCGACAAUUGGAAGACGGGAUUGAGUGAAGUAGCAGUUGAGCAGUUGGAUGUGGAUGUCCAUGUCCUACAGACUGCAGCCAGACCCUUCUCAAAACCCGACAGAGAACCAAAACAGGUCCUUGCGUUACGUCGACGUGGAACCAUAAUCAGCCCUUAAGGCUGGUGUACGAACACACCAAUAAAUCCCCCCAUUGUUUGGCAUCCCAAAACAUGCACUUGACCAAUCACAACGCUCUAUACUACGGGCCUUAAAGGUCCCAUGGCAUGAAAAUGUCACUUUAUGAGGUUUUCUAACAUUAAUAUGAGUUUCCCUAGCCUCCCUAUGGUCCCCCAGUAGCUAGAAAUGGCAUAAGGUGCAAAACGAGCACUAGGUAUCCUGCUCCGCCUUUGAAAAGUGAAAGCUCAGAUGCUCAGAUUCCGAAUUUGGCCCCAUAUGUCGUCAUAAGGGGCCAAGUUACCUCCCCUUUCUCUGCCUUGCCCACCCAAAGAAUUUGGCCCGCCAAUGAGACAAUGAGUUACGACCGUGCGAGCGCCACGUGUGUGUGUGUGAAUACACACACUGUAACGCAAGUGUUGUACACUUCUUUGUUAUUUGGAUAACCGUUCUUCUGUUUGUGUUAUGGCGCAUAACAUGUCGGUUUUUUGACGUCUGUUAUUUCCACAACGAGACUCUAGUUGGGGUUAUCUCAGCCAUGGUUGAGAUAACCCCAGAAGUUCAUGAACCACGACAUGGGAGAAAUGGAUUGUUGCCCGCGGUUGUCUCCCUCCGGAUAUAUGUUGAGUGAUUUUGUGCUACUUUCCGUAAAAGCGAACGGUGGAAUAAAUAUCUGUGAUAGGGGGCCAUGGUCAGACAUAAUAGUCUGUGGUCAUAUGCAUGUUAUGAUUUUGUGAUUAUAAACAACCAAUGGGGGGAGUGGAUGGGACUCUACAUGAUGUUACAUUUUUCUUCGUAGAGGUAUUUGGUGUGUUUUUUUUUUUUUUAUCUUUUAGUUAAACCUAUAUGUGUGCCUUUUUGGAUCAAUGGUUGAUGAUUGCAUGACCUAUUUUUGAUUACUGUUUUCCUAAAUGUUGCAUGAGGUAUUUUUGAUUAUUAAUUUAGUGAUGAUUGUGUGACUACUAAUUUAGUGACGAUUGUGUGACUACUAAUUUAGUGAUGAUUGUAUGACAUGGUGGUUGGAUGUCUACUGCUUAUUUGUUGAGUGAGGCUUGUAGCCCACUGUGUAUUCCAUGUGACCCUCCGGACUGCCUGAUUGUGCGGGUUGGUUGGUGGUUUUGAUGAUUGUUGCAUGGUAAUGUAGCCAUGAUAUUUUUCUGUUUUGCUUUAUACUUUUAUACUAUUAUACUAUUAUCCUCAUCCUCAUCCUCAUCCUCAUCCGCUUAGCCGGGGUCUGGUCGCGGGGGGAGCAGCUCAAGCAGGGGGCCCCAGACUUCCCUUUCCCGGGCCACAUUGACCAGCUCUGACGGGGGGAUCCCGAGGCGUUCCCAGGCCAGUGUUGAGAUAUAAUCUCUCCACCUAGUCCUGGGUCUUCCCCGAGGUCUCCUCCCCACUGGACGUGCCUGAAACACCUCCCAAGGGAGGCGCCCAGUGGGCAUCAUUGCCAGAUGCCCGAACCACCUCAGCUGACUCCUUUCUAAGUAAAGGAGCAGCGGCUCUAAUCCGAGUUCCUCAC
ensembl:lncRNA